ACAAAUCCAAUAUGGGGAGGGGAUAAAACCCUAACCUAAUAUUAAACCGCUAGCUCGACCGUUAGGUUGGGCUGGUUGGAUAUAUAUGCGUGAAUGUAGACAGUGUGUGUAAUAAAAUUUAUUGA
rnacentral:misc_RNA from 1 species